GUAGGCUUAACACAUGCAAGUCGUGCGAGAAAGUAUCUUCGGAUAUGAGUAGAGCGGCGAACGGGUGAGUAACGCGUAGGAAUGUACCUAGUAGAAGGGGAUAGCCCGAGGAAACUCGGAUUAAUACCGUAUACCUCCUUCGGGAGAAAGAAGGCCUCUCUUUGAAGCUUUCGCUACUAGAUCAGCCUGCGUAAGAUUAGCUUGUUGGUGAGGUAAUGGCUCACCAAGGCUACGAUCUUUAGCUGGUCUGAGAGGACGAUCAGCCACAUUGGGACUGAGACACGGCCCAGACUCCUACGGGAGGCAGCAGUGGGGAAUAUUGGACAAUGGGCGCAAGCCUGAUCCAGCCAUACCGCGUGUGUGAAGAAGGCCUUCGGGUUGUAAAGCACUUUAAGCAGGGAGAAAAAAAUAUAGGUUAAUACCCUAUGUUCUUGAUGUUACCUGCAGAA
rnacentral:rRNA from 1 species